GAAGGGUGACGGGAUAAGAACGCUAAAGUUUUCGUUUUUGGAGGACCCAUUGAGUUCUUGAAGGAUAAAAGUAAAAAUUCAAAUUGCGCAUGUUUGCCGACGAGGGUUUAAAAUCGUUUCAACUCGGUAUGCAAAGUAGCAGCUGGCAAGGAGAGCAGUCGGAAGCCCCGACUCAGUAUCAUUUGGACAGCCGAAGGAAUAACAGAUGGAUAUUUGGAUACCAAGUGAAAGAAAGUUGAAGAUGCUGAAAAUAGCCCUGAAAUGUCUCAACCGCAAAGGAAUCAAUUUGGACCGAUUUCAACGAUGUCAUCAAUUACAACGCGAUAUCUAAAAAGCGAUGCUUGCCAACAAUCCGCCCUCGAAGCAGGCUAUGAAAGGCUCUUCGGGAAAUGCUGAGAGCGUCGUUGCGGUUGGAGGAUUUAAUGUGGCCACAGCAGCGCGGGCAAAGGACUGAGACACCCUCAAUGGAGCACUGGUUAAGUGAUUUGGACAAUUUAAUUUGAUUGAGGUUUUUCGCUGGGUAUCUUCACGAUCGCCUACGUGAUCUAGUAGGCCAGGUGCGUGUGCUGUGGAUCAGCAAUUGACACUGUCGUCGACGUCGAAAUUCUCAUCGUAGUAAGCCUCGAUUAUCUUCCAUCUUUUCGCCCAGUCGAGUCUUAUUUAUGGGCGCUGGUGCUAAAUUUAAUAGUUGCACCUAGACGUGAUCAAGCAUUUAUCAAUUCUGUCAAAACUGACCACACAGCGAAAGAAGCUCGAGGGUUAAUUAGCUGGCUAAGAAAUGGUAAAAAGUUUCAAAUUGAUUCCCAUUACGCUUACGAGAGAGAAUGGGGAAUUAAAGGGUGAUGACAUCUCGCCGUAGUAGGCGACUGCUUGUUUUUGGUU